rnacentral:rRNA from 1 species
CUCCGGUUGAUCCCGCCGGACCCGACUGCUAUCAGAGUGGGACUAAGCCAUGCGAGUCAACAUAGCAAUAUGUGGCAUACGGCUCAGUAACACGUAGUCAACAUGCCCAGGGGACGUGGAUAACCUCGGGAAACUGAGGAUAAACCGCGAUAGGUCAUCACUUCUGGAAUGGGUAAUGACUUAAAUCUAUAUGGCCCCUGGAUUGGACUGCGGCCGAUCAGGCUGUUGGUGAGGUAAUGGCCCACCAAACCUGUAACCGGUACGGGCUCUGAGAGGAGGAGCCCGGAGAUGGGCACUGAGACAAGGGCCCAGGCCCUAUGGGGCGCAGCAGGCGCGAAACCUCUGCAAUAGGCGAAAGCUUGACAGGGUUACUCUGAGUGAUUUCCGUUAAGGAGAUCUUUUGGCACCUCUAAAAAUGGUGCAGAAUAAGGGGUGGGCAAGUCUGGUGUCAGCCGCCGCGGUAAUACCAGCACCCCGAGUGGUCGGGACGUUUAUUGGGCCUAAAGCAUCCGUAGCCGGUUCUACAAGUCUUCCGUUAAAUCCACCUGCUUAACAGAUGGGCUGCGGAAGAUACUAUAGAGCUAGGAGGCGGGAGAGGCAAGCGGUACUCGAUGGGUAGGGGUAAAAUCCGUUGAUCCAUUGAAGACCACCAGUGGCGAAGGCGGCUUGCCAGAACGCGCUCGACGGUGAGGGAUGAAAGCUGGGGGAGCAAACCGGAUUAGAUACCCGGGUAGUCCCAGCUGUAAACGAUGCAGACUCGGUGAUGAGUUGGCUUAUUGCUAACUCAGUGCCGCAGGGAAGCCGUUAAGUUUGCCGCCUGGGGAGUACGGUCGCAAGACUGAAACUUAAAGGAAUGGCGGGGGAGCA